GUAAAUCAGUAAUUACCUCAUUCUAGUCAAUAAAACAACCUUGGUUCCGAAGAUUUCCGAAUGGUACAUGACGGUAAUAAUCUACAAGAUUCAAUCUUCUUAUUUAGUAACCUUGGCGCUGCCCAGACAAAAUGGCUGACUGUCGGCAAUGUUGUUCGUUGGUUAUAUGAAAACUGUGCAGCUUCCAUUGUGUCAAGUGGUGAAUGGCAUCAUCAGGAGAGGUGGGAAGCUGUGACUGGGCUGCUCCACCAGCAAGAAGCUCAAGUCUUGUGUAGUUCAACAAUCAAAGGUUUUCUAGAUGGUCGUGGUGAGUGGUGGUUGGGUCAAAUCUGUGGUCUAUCCCAAUUGUGGAGAUGUGAUAGCUACUACUAAGAUGGCUGCCAAGGCUGUUCUCAUCUGUCGGCCCAAUUCUCAUCCAUUUCAGGAACGGUCACUGACUUUGGACCAGCCAGUAAAAAUUGGACGUUCAGUGGCUCGGGCUCGAGCUGCUCCUAAUAAUGCCAUCUUUGACUGCAAAGUGCUAUCCCGUAACCAUGCUUUGUUGUGGUACGAGAAUGGAAAGUUUUACUUACAGGAUACAAAAAGUAGCAAUGGCACAUUUGUCAACAAUCAGCGGCUCAGUAAAGGGGCAGAAGAGUCACCACCUCGGGAAGUCUGUUCUGGAGAUAUUGUUCAGUUUGGAGUUGAUGUUAUGGAGAAUUCGAGGAAAGUUCUUGUUUCAGUGACACAUGGCUGCAUUGUUGCCACACUGAAGUUAUAUUUACCAGAUGGCAAAGAAGCAAAGGCAAGUCCUUCCACAUCUGUUGUCAGCUCAGUUGGGAUGGUGCCAUUAGAAGACCUGUAUCAGCUGAACCAGUAUCUGCAGGAAGCCUUACAGAGAGAGCAGCUUCUGGAAAACAAACUGGCUACAUUGCAGCGAUUAGUUGAAACUACUCGUCAGGCAUCAGAUCUUGGUUGGAAAGCUCUUAUAGAUGAAGAUCGUCUUUUAUCACGUGUUGAAAUUCUGGAAAAUCAGUUACAGAUGUAUUCAAAAAACUUUGCAGAGGACAAGCUGCGAGAGGAGUUACGGAAAUUACAGGAAGAUAAGAGUCAGUACCAGGGUACUGCCAAGGAAUCUCUUCGCAAGAUGCUGCAAGAAAAGCUGGAAGCAGUACAGAAGAUGCAGGAUAUUGAACGGACUCUGAGCAACACAGAGGAUGAGUGUGCACACCUCAAGGAGCUGUGUGAGCGCAGCCAGCAGGACUUACAAGAUCUUGCAUUAAAAUAUAGUCUGCAGUUGCAGAAAGUAGAGGAACUCUCAUCUAAACUACAGGAAACAGAAGAUCAGCAUCGUGAAGUUUGUGAACGCUUAGAACAAGAAAAGCAAGAAUUGCAGGCUAGAUUACAAGAACAGCUGGAGGCAGAACGAGCAUUGCAACUGCGUUUGGAAGCAUUGCAGGUCGAUGGAGAUGUCACACAAAAACAACUGGCAGCCCUGCAGUCACAUAUCCAUUCUCUGCAACCCAGUAAUAAUAUUGACUCCAAAGUAGAUCUUGACAGCUUUAAAUCUACAGAUUCAACAGCCACCCAGGUGGAUAUUAUCUUGGAGCGAAUUGAACCAGACAACAUGAAAGAGGCUUUACAAAAUACCCAAGAUGAGAUUGAGAAUCUUCGAUCUUUACUGAAGAAGUCUGAGGAGGAAAUAAAGGAGAGUCAUGCAAGAGUGGAUGAACUCCACACACAACUUGAAGAAUCCCGGAAGCAAGAAGACUCAAACUCUGAGCAAAUUCGUGUGCUCCAAGAGCGAUUAGAAGGACUAGAAUUAGAUUUGGAAUUGGAUCGAGUAGAGAAUUGUCAUGAAAAUGGAGAAUGUGAUAGGAAACAUGUGUCCCUUGAGGCAGAUUCCAAUCAUGCGAAGAAGCUGAAAGCUGACAUUGCUAAACUGGAAGAAACUCGUCAUGAGUUGGAAUUGUCUGUAGAGCAUUACGUCUGCAUGGUGAUUAUUUUAAAAGAAUUGCUUGCGGAGUCUCGUGGCAAGAAGCGUGAUGUUGAGGUCAAGCAGCAGCAUUACCAACAUGAAUUAGAUUGUGCCAAACUCAAAGUGAAGAAGACAACAGAGGAAGCUAACAUGUUGAAGCAGCAGUUGCAGGCUGCCCAGAAACAGAUGCAGGAGAAGUCUGAAUCAGUGACAAAAUUACACGAACAAAUGCACUGGCUUGAAACAUCAGCAGAUGAGGUGAAGUUUCAAGUAUUACAGCUGCAAGAACGACUCCGAGACGAACAACAACGCUGUAUUCAACAUUCUGAGGAAGCUGAAGUAUUACGGAAUCAACUGAUGGAAGCUCAACAGAGUGCGAAACAAAGCCGUAAUGAAGCUGAGCAGAUGAAAGAUAGACUGAAAGCCAUUCAAGAGGAACUGAAACGUCAUUCUGGUAGUGAAGAUAAUAGAAGUCGCGAAGAAUUGAUCCAGAUUAGAAAACGAUGUGAAACACUGGUGGAAGAUAAUGCCAGGCUAAAGGAGGAAUACCAUGCACUUGAGGAGCGGAACUUCAUUCUAAAUCGCAAUUUGGAAGCUCGUAUAUUACAGGGUGACUCUGAAAGUACAUCUUUAGAAUUGAGUGAGUGCAGGAUACAACGUGACCAAAUUUUUCAGAAUCUUCAUCAUUUACAAGAAGAAAUGGUGAUUGUCAAAGAGUGUUAUUCCCAGUGUAAUGAAGCAAAAACACAGCUGACACAAGAUUUGGUCUCAUUGCAACAGGAAUAUUCCAAUCUCAUGAGCAGUUCUAGUAUAGUACGUGUUAACUAUGUUAUACCCUUGUUUCUCGUUGCCCUGGCUGUGUGGUUGGCUUUGGUCCACUACACUUAACUUGUGGAAUAUCCUGUGCUUUUCUGUUGUUUCUUUUGAUUGUUUUCAACAGUACUGCAUUAUAAAUCUAUCUUGAGAUUUACUAGAUGAAAUCCCAAAGAAGGUUUUAUGGUGCUGUUUGGUGCCCUUAAUCAUCGUGUUCUUGGGAAUAAUAGUGAUGUUUUAUCCAUCAUUAGCCUUCAUUACCGGUACUUCUGAGUCAGAACAGCCUCAGUGAUUGAAAGUAAUCCUGGUGAGAAGCUCGGUUUGUGUCAGUGUAAUUUUGUUUCUCUCUCGAGUGAUUUAAAAUAAAAAGAAGUUCUACUGAAGAUGAAAACUACAGGAAUAAACAAUCGGUCCAUGCAUGGGGAUACUAUGCCACUGAACUUGAAUAUAUUAUUUGUUGCUACAGUUUUCACAUAUUUAUUGAGAUUUUUCAUUGUUAUUGUUUAUAUAAUGUAGAAAUAACUUUUAAUUUUUAUAUUUGUAUAAUAGUGAAGUGUCAAGUUCUCAUGAUGUAGUCAUCCCACUGUGGUGGACCUUGAUUAUGAAUAUGGUGCAAGUAAUGUGACUAAGAUAUAAAUUACUGUGUGUGUUUAUCAUUCUGGAUGUGAGAUAAUAUUUUUUUAAUUGUUACAUACCAGGAGAUGUCUGUUCAGGUUACCAUUCUUUUUGUUACAGCAAGUAGCUCUGCUAAUGUCGAUUGUGGACAAUCAACAUUUUCACCACUGAAAGAACCUUAAAUAUCAUGUAGCUGUACUAAUAUUCAUUAGAGAAAGAAGCCAAAAGUAAAGGAGGGACAAAUUGAAACACUUUCCAGAAUGAAGAUAUUUUCUGAACAAGCCUAUAGUUAUGUUCUAAAACAUUACAAACGGUCAUAUAAAGACUUCAUUCUGGCAAGACUUUGAAACGUGUUUUUGUUGGUUUUUAAUUCUUAAACCUUUCAGUUCCUGUAUCACAGCUGAUAUGGCAUUUAAUUUAUGCCUGCUCAGAUGUCAAAACAUAUCUGACUUUCUAGUUUUCACUUUGCUCUAAAACUGUGCUAUUUGUUUAGGAACAUUUGAACUCUUAAGACUACCAUACUCUCACCCAGCACAUCCUUUGCAUUGUAACAAAACCUACCCUGCAUUUGUCAGUCAUUUUAUACUAUUCUGAGUAAAUGGUAGUGUUAAACAAAACUAUUUUCCCUCCAUAUUGAUACAGACUAAACAAAGUUUGGAAGUAAGUUGGUGUGGAAAGGGUCAAUUUUAUUAAUUUUCUGUAAUUUUGACCACCUGAGACCUGAUUUGAUUUCUCUACAGCUAGUGAAAAUGGGUCUUGUUACUGUAUUGCUUUCCAAUAUAAUUGGCAGUGGAGCUUCAGUUUGACUGAAACUGGGGUGUUUCAAUAAAAAAAAAUAUUUAUUUUGUUUAUUUAUUGCUUGUUAACUUAGAGUUUUAUAGCUUUUAAUAUUUUCAUAAUGUGUAAUUUCAAAUGCCAGAUGCACUUGUGAUGUUUUGUUAGAAGGCCUUCUCACAACUCAUAGCAUUAGGUGCUUAAUGUAGGAAUUAGAGAGAUUAUUCUAUAAUUAAUAAUGCCAAAUUGAUUAGUGAUGCUAGAUCUAAUAAUUUUUGCAGAUGUUAUAGGAAUAAUAGAGCAUUCUUUUGUUGUGUGAUGUUUUA